CUUCGUCUAGAAGCGUGUUAAGGGUGCUUGAACUCAACAUUUAUCAAGUGGAUCCUCUUUUUGCCGCUUGGUUAGCAAAUUAAGUACGGUAAAUGCGCCAAAGAAUGUCAAAUUAAAAUGUGCUUUUGCGUUGACAGCUGAGCAGCUGAGCAGCUCAAUGAAUAAUGGAAUAUGUACUAUCAAAUCCGAGACGAAUACAACGAUAUAGAUGUAAAUCGACGGCAAUUUAAUAGUAAAAGAGGAAAUCUUAAAUUUGGCAAUAAAUUACGAAAUUGUUCAUAAAUAUUUUACGAUUAUUUCAAGUCAAAUUAUCACCUAACAUUGCGCAAUUAAGAAGUUACAUGCAGUUAACAGCGCCGCUUAACAGCUGCUGUUGGCAGCAUUAACAGUGGCCGAACAGCAGCUGUUAAGUUUUAAGAGAGCGACGCUUGCCAUUUAACAUUACAUUAAGCAUAGCAUCCUCUGCAAUUUACCAACAGCAGCUGCUGCUGCUGUCAAAGAGGACAACUAACAGCAGCAGCAUCAGCAGCAGCAGCAAACAGUGAAAUCACCAUGGCGGCCACUUCUUUUCGGCUGCUGCUUUCAGUUGUUGUUGGACCACAAGAGCGUUUCGUUGUGUGACGGCAGAAAAGCAAAAGUUAUCAACCAAACGAACAGUGGAUAAGGAAAGAGGCAAGAGAAACAGAGAGUGAGCAAAAGAGAGAGUGAGUGCGUGUGUGGAGAGAGCGCUAGACAUUACAAUUCUUCUUCGUGUGGUUGUUGUUGUUGCCGCUGCUUGAAACAAAGCCAGCAAUUCUUGUGCAUGUUAAAAGCGGCGACAGUCACCACGGGUGAGCGUCUACAUAUAUGUAUGAGAGCGACUGCGACGGCGAAGGCGAAUGCCGAAUAGAAGUGUGAGUGAGUGAGUGAACUGCCGAAGGCAUUGUAUGAUGAUGCUGCUGCUGCUGCUGCUGCUGCUGCCAUAUGCAUGUGUGGGUGCAGACAAUACAAAAGCAGCGCAUUAGCGUCGCUGCUACUGACGCUGCUGCUGUUCUUCUUGUUGUUGUUGCCUGUUAAUUUGCAUGCGGGCGCAAUUUUGCUGUUCUUCUUGUUGUUGUUGUUGUUGUUGUUGUUGUUGUUGUUGCCUGCAUCUUGUGGCCGCCCUGCAAUAACAAUGCUGCUGGGGCUGAUGCUGCUGCUGCUGCUGUGCCGGACAUUUGUAGUAGUUGUAGUGCUGUUUUGUUAUUGUUGCUAUUGUUUGUGUGUUUUUUGCUUGCUUGUGCAGUGGUGUUGUUAGCGGUGGCUUGUUGGUUUUUUUUUUUAUUGUGAAUUGUGCCCGUCAGCCAAAAUGCGUUUGUAACAGCCAAACUAUCCAGCUGCCAACUUUACGGCAUAUGUUGACGAGUCCUUUUACCUACGACUACAGCUUUCUAUGUGUGUGUGUGUGUUAAUUAAGUUAGUGACUUUUUUGCCGUUGGGCCCACAUGGCGUAUGAAUAAUGGCCACGACGACUUUGUCGCUUCUUUUUAGCCAAAGACGUCGUGCAGUUGCUAUUCAUGAUAGCACAGCAGGUGAAUCGUCAUCAUCAUCAUCAUCGUCAUUAUCAACUUCAUGAACUGGCCAACAUAUGCUACCAUAUGUUAAUGUGGCCAGAACAACGUUGGGGGUGUAAAGCAAGCAACACUGCUCGCAAGUUUUGUAUUUUAAUUGCACUUUUAAUAUGCAUUAUAAACAACAGCAGCAAAAAAAUAAGUGAAACAAAAUUUUAACAAACUCCCAACUGGAAGUGAACUUUGCCAUGACCAAAAAAAAUGGACAAUACCCAUUAAAGUUUAAUCAGAAACGGAAGUUAAGCGCACAACUUCCGCCCAAAAGUUUGUCCGAAAGCAAACUGCGAGAGACAGAGAAACAGAGAGACUGAGAGUGAGAGUUGAGAGUUGAGGGAAGCUCUUAAGCAAGGAACGUGAUGACGAGGCCAUUACGAGGAGGGCACAAGUUUGAAACCAAAAUGCCAAAGUGUCCAAGCGCGGCGCAAAAAUUUCAAUUUCCAAGCAUGUUUCUAAAUUAAACUGACGAAAAAACCAACGAAAAUCAAAGCAGGCAAAACAUUUCUAACAUUUCUAAAACAAAAUACAAAAAUACAAAAAAAAAACAAAUACGAAGAUAACAUUUUGUGUGUGAAUGGAAAACUGUGUGGAAACUCUGUUUCCAUUUAGCAACAACUUACUUGCACAAAGCAAUAGAAAUGCGCACUUCCCUCCUCUCUCGACAAUUCACUUCCAAUUCGUAUUCGCUGUGCACAAAGUUUUCCCCCCGAGUGUGGACCAAAAAAAAAAAAAAAAAAAAAGAAAUAAAAAUGCGAAGAAAGCUACUUUGACUUCGGAAAGUUUGGAAAUGUCGAAUGGCGAAUUGGCGCUGCAAAUCUAACACAAUUGGUAUAAAAUGUGGCAGACCAUAAGCAUGAAAUGAGUUUAUUAAUCAAAAUGGAAAUAUUAUACUUCAAAUGCCAUAUUAGUUUUCGAUUUGAUUCGAAUUUCUAACUUUUCUUCAAGCCUCCCAAAAGUAGACUAUGAAAAAGUCAUUGUUGCGUAUUUGUACAAAAAGUGUAUUGAUGAUGAUGAAUAUAAUAGGUAGGAAAAUAAAAGGAAAGCCAUGAUUGAAUAUCCUGGAAACAUUUUGUAAACAUUUUCGCUGAUGAUAAAUAAACAUUUUGUGCAACUGAAGUUGCAAUUUAACCUUUGCCUCAGUUGCAUACCGCAUGUGGCACUGAUGAGUGGCGCACAUAUAAAAAGCUGGGAAAUUGCGUAAACUGAAAAGGGACACAACACAAAGCAACACAAAAUAAAAAAGGUAGCGAGUUGUCGUGUAUUUAACUUGGAAAUUUCUACGUUUCUCCGUUUUCAGUGCAGUUGCAAACUGUUCUCGCAGUUUAUAUUUACAACCGUUGCCAUUGCAGUUAAUUUGUAGCUACACAUUUUUAAUUUCAUGCCAGCAGGCAGCCGACGCAGUCAGGCGGCAGAGGAUGCAACUCCCCUUUUCCCAAUCCCAUUCAAAAAGUGACCAAACAACAAGUGCAAAAAGGGGAAAUGAAACAGGACGAAACAACGCCGCAGUUUUUAUGCUUGUGGUAAUUUUGCGCUUUUGUUUUAAAGACUUUUGCUAAUUUCGGCAACAAAAAUGUUUUCAAACCAAACAUUUAAUUUGCAUAAAUUGUCGGCAAAUUUAAUGAAAAUUUCAUUUUCGAAAUUUCUUCAAAUUGAAUGCAAAAGUCACCGGAUAAGUAAAUCCCUCCCCCCCCUGCAAGCCACGCCACGCCCAUCAAUCAAAAAGGCGUCUGUGCUGUCCGCUCUUCUUUUGCUGGCUCAUUAUCAGAGCAGCAGGCAACAGUCAACACCGAAACACCGAA